AGGACGAACGCUGGCGGCGUGCUUAACACAUGCAAGUCGAACGGUGACGAGGAGCUUGCUCCUCCGAUCAGUGGCGAACGGGUGAGUAACACGUGAGUAACCUGCCCCAGACUCUGGAAUAACAGUUGGAAACAGCUGCUAAUACCGGAUACGAGACGGAGAGGCAUCUCUACCGUCUGGAAAGUUUUUCCGGUCUGGGAUGGACUCGCGGCCUAUCAGCUUGUUGGUGAGGUAAUGGCUCACCAAGGCGACGACGGGUAGCCGGCCUGAGAGGGCGACCGGCCACACUGGGGCUGAGACACGGCCCAGACUCCUACGGGAGGCAGCAGUGGGGAAUAUUGCACAAUGGGCGAAAGCCUGAUGCAGCAACGCCGCGUGAGGGAUGACGGCCUUCGGGUUGUAAACCUCUUUCAGUAGGGAAGAAGCGAAAGUGACGGUACCUACAGAAGAAGCACCGGCUAACUACGUG
rnacentral:rRNA from 1 species